UACGGAGGGUGCGAGCGUUAUCCGGAUUCACUGGGUUUAAAGGGUGCGUAGGUGGGCAGGUAAGUCAGUGGUGAAAUCUCCGGGCUUAACCCGGAAACUGCCAUUGAUACUAUCGGUCUUGAAUACCGUGGAGGUGAGCGGAAUGUGUCAUGUAGCGGUGAAAUGCUUAGAUAUGACAUAGAACACCAAUUGCGAAGGCAGCUCACUACACGAAUAUUGACACUGAGGCACGAAAGCGUGGGGAUCAAACAGG
rnacentral:rRNA from 1 species